rnacentral:misc_RNA from 1 species
ACAAACAUCCGACCCCCGUUUUAUCCCCUUAGGGGUCGAUUUUCGUAAAAUCAGUUCUUAGCGGAUGUCUACGUCCUAUAAGGAACCUACCUGCUAAAUUACAACUUUGUAGCUGUUAUAGUUUCGGAGGUUUCGUGAUGAGUGAGUCAACCUACCAUCCCCCAUUUUAACCCCAAAAGGGAGUUGCUUUAUAAAGAUACAUUAUUUGAACACCUUCUCACCAUCUAAAGACUGAACAUUUUAAAUUUCAAGUCUCUUACUUCAAAAACACAGGACUUUCAUACAAACUUUCAACCCCCGUUUUACCUCUUUAGGGGUCGAAUUUCAUAAAACCCGUUCUUAGCAAAUGUUUACGCCCUAUAAGGAGCCUAUCUGUCAAAUUUCAAGUUUGUAGGUGUUAUAGUUCCGGAGAUCUCGUGAUCAGUGAGUCAACCUACGAUCCCCCGUUUUAACCCCAAAAAGGAGUUGAUUUCUAAAGAUACAUUAUUUGGACACCUUUUCACCACCUAUAGAGCUUAAAUUUUAAAUUUCAAGCCUCUUACUUCAAAAACAUAGCACUUUCAUACAAACUUGCAACCCCCGUUUUACCCCCUUAGGGGUCGAGUUUUGUAAAAUCCGUUCUUAGCAGAUGCCUACGUCUUAUAAGGAGCCUACCUGCCAAAUUUCAAGUUUGUAGGUGUUAUAGUUUCGGAGAUUUCGUGAUGAGUGAGUGACCUUUCGCUUUUAUAUAUAUUAU